rnacentral:sRNA from 1 species
GCUUUCAACAUCCCCGUCCGGCGCCCUCUAGGGCGAGCUGGACUGAAGGC